rnacentral:rRNA from 1 species
UAAGAGACAGCAGCCGCCGCGGUAAUACGUAGGUGGCAAGCGUUGUCCGGAAUUAUUGGGCGUAAAGGGCUCGCAGGCGGAUCAGUCAGUCUGUCUUAAAAGUUCGGGGCUUAACCCCGUGAUGGGAUGGAAACUGCUGAUCUAGAGUAUCGGAGAGGAAAGUGGAAUUCCUAGUGUAGCGGUGAAAUGCGUAGAUAUUAGGAAGAACACCAGUGGCGAAGGCGACUUUCUGGACGAAAACUGACGCUGAGGCGCGAAAGCCAGGGGAGCGAACGGGAUUAGAUACCCCAGUAGUCCCUGUCUCUUAUACC